GACGAACGCUGGCGGCGUGCUUAACACAUGCAAGUCGAACGGAAAGACCCUGCUUUUGUGGGGUGCUCGAGUGGCGAACGGGUGAGUAACACGUGAGUAACCUGCCCUUGACUUUGGGAUAACUUCAGGAAACUGGGGCUAAUACCGGAUAGGAGCUCCUGCUGCAUGGUGGGGGUUGGAAAGUUUCGGCGGUUGGGGAUGGACUCGCGGCUUAUCAGCUUGUUGGUGGGGUAGUGGCUUACCAAGGCUUUGACGGGUAGCCGGCCUGAGAGGGUGACCGGCCACAGUGGGACUGAGAUACGGCCCAGACGCCUACGGGAGGCAGGAGUGGGGAAUAUUGCACAAUGGGCCGAAGCCGGAUGCAGCAACGCCGCGUGCGGGAUGACGGCCUUCGGGUUGUAAACCGCUUUCGCCUGUGACGAAGCGUGAGUGACGGUAAUGGGUAAAGAAGCACCGGCUAACUACGU
rnacentral:rRNA from 1 species